rnacentral:rRNA from 1 species
CCUACGGGAGGCUGCAGUGGGGAAUAUUGGACAAUGGGCGAAAGCCUGAUCCAGCCAUGCCGCGUGUGUGAAGAAGGCCUUCGGGUUGUAAAGCACUUUCAGUGGGGAAGAAAGCCUUGGGGCUAAUACCCUCGAGGAAGGACAUCACCCACAGAAGAAGCACCGGCUAACUCCGUGCCAGCAGCCGCGGUAAUACGGAGGGUGCGAGCGUUAAGCGGAAUUACUGGGCGUAAAGCGCGCGUAGGCGGUCUGAUAAGCCGGUUGUGAAAGCCCCGGGCUCAACCUGGGAACGGCAUCCGGAAGUUUCAGGCGAGAGUGCAGGAGAGGAAGGUAGAAUUCCCGGUGUAGCGGUGAAUUGCGUAGAGAUCGGGAGGAAUACCAGUGGCGAAGGCGGCCUUCUGAACUGACACUGACGCUGAGGUGCGAAAGCGUGGGUAGCAAACAGGAUUAGAUACCCCAGUAGUC